ACUUGUUGAGACUCAACCUGUGUAGAGAGAAACAGGUUCUCUGGUCAUCCCAGCCCUCUAGCGUCUUGCCCAGGAGCCACCAAAAGGCAGGGCCAGAGGAACCCAACAGACGGUCUCCUCCAACCUCCUCACUUGACAGCCAGGGAAACUGAGGCCCGGAGAAAGGGGGAGGUGGCCACCCCUAACUAAUCUGUUAGCAGCAAUAGGGCAACGGCCAGAUAAGUGUUUUCCUAUGGCUGUCUAUGGACACCAUGCCCUUCCAAGUCCAGUGAUGGAAAGACUCCUAAGAUAGUUUGACAGUUCACAGUGUCAACCUGACAGGAUCUAGAAGCAACGAAGAGACAACUCUCUGGGCUAAUUGAUGAGGGACAACCCACCCUGGAUGGAAGCAGCUCCAUUCCAUGGACUGGAGUCCUGGACUGAAUUGAAAGGAGAAAGCGAGCUGAGCUCUGGCAUCCACCUCUCUCUGCUUCCUGACUGUGGAUGCCAUGUGACCAGCUGCCUCACGCUCCUGCCGCCAUGCCUUCCCCGCCAUGAUGGACAAAAGACAAAGACAAAGAUGUGAGAAGCCAGCUUCCUGCUCUCGCCACCAUCCUGCCUGCCCUUUCCCCUGCUCUCAUCACCAGGAUGGACUCCCCCUCUGGAACCAUCAGGCACAAAUGAAUCCUUUCCUUUCUAAGUUGUUAUUCUUGGGGCCUUGCUGGUGUGCACGGCGUUCACCUGGUAUCGACGGUUGGAGCCUGUAGGAGGAAGAGCCGGGGCUCACUGUCUGGGAUCAGGAAGUCCUGCUUGUGUGGAGACUCUGGAAGCUAGAAGGAAAGCUUGACCAGC